rnacentral:rRNA from 1 species
UGGGGAAUCUUGCACAAUGGGGGCAACCCUGAUGCAGCGACGCCGCGUGAGCGAUGAAGCCCUUCGGGGCGUAAAGCUCUUUCGACCGGAACGAUAAUGACGGUACCGGGAGAAGAAGCUGCGGCUAACUACGUGCCAGCAGCCGCGGUAAUACGUAGGCAGCAAGCGUUGUUCGGAGUUAUUGGGCGUAAAGAGUGCGUAGGCGGUUUUCUAAGUUCGGUGUGAAAUCUCCCGGCUUAACUGGGAGGGUGCGCCGAAGACUGGGAAGCUGGAGUGUGGGAAAGGCAGGCGGAAUUCCUGGUGUAGCGGUGAAAUGCGUAGAUAUCAGGAGGAACACCGGCGGUGUAGACGGCUUGCUAGACCAUAACUGACGCUGAGGCACGAAAGCGUGGGUAGCAAACA